rnacentral:rRNA from 1 species
UUAGAGUAGAUAUAGAGGCGGUCAACUCUCGUGCCAGCAACCGCGGUUAGACGAAAACCUCAAGUUAAUUGACAAACGGCGUAAAUUGUGGCUAGAACUCUAUCUCCCCCAUUAGUGCAGAUACGGUAUCACAGUAGUGAUAAACUUCAUCACACCGCAAACAUCAACACAAAACUGGCCCUAAUCUCAAAGAUGUACUCGAUUCCACGAAAGCUGAGAAACAAACUGGGAUUAGAUACCCCACUAUGCUCAGCCCUUAACAUUGGUGUAGUACACAACAGACUACCCUCGCCAGAGAAUUACGAGCCCCGCUUAAAACUCAAAGGACUUGACGGCACUUUAAACCCCCCUAGAGGAGCCUGUCCUAUAAUCGACAGUACACGUUACACCCGACCACCUUUAGCCUACUCAGUCUGUAUACCGCCGUCGCAAGCCCGUCCCAUUUGAGGGAAACAAAACGCGCGCAACAGCUCAACCGAGCUAACACGUCAGGUCAAGGUGCAGCCAACAAGGUGGAAGAGAUGGGCUACAUUUUCUCAACAUGUAGAAAUAUUCAACGGAGAGCCCUAUGAAAUACAGGACUGUCAAAGCCGGAUUUAGCAGUAAACUGGGAAAGAAUACCUAGUUGAAGUCGGUAACGAAGUGCGUACACACCGCCCGUCACCCUCCUCGAACCCAACAAAAUGCCCAAACAACAGGCACAAUGUUGGGCAAGAUGGGGAAAGUCGUAACAAGGUAAGCGUACCGGAAGGUGCACUUGGAACAU